rnacentral:snRNA from 12 species
AAACUGUCGCACAGGGGACACCGUGAUCAGUCAUAUGAUGCAGAUCCCUCAGAGCGAGGCCUGUUCAUUGCACUACGAAUGGGUUGACCUCUGCGAUUACCAUGUGGAUAACUCGGGUGCAAAGAAUUAGAAUGAAAAAUUAAUGAUUGGAAGGAAGUGCUUUAUUUUU